UUUACCAAAAACAUCACCUCUAGCAUAAAAAGUAUUAGAGGCACUGCCUGCCCAGUGACUUUAGUUCAACGGCCGCGGUAUCCUGACCGUGCAAAGGUAGCAUAAUCACUUGUUCUCUAAAUAAGGACUUGUAUGAAUGGCUCCACGAGGGUUUAACUGUCUCUUACUUUCGAUCAGUGAAAUUGACCUUCCCGUGAAGAGGCGUGAAUAAAAAAAUAAGACGAGAAGACCCUAUGGAGCUUUAAUUAAUCAACUCACAAAUUAAAAUAACACUCUAUCAGAAACAAACUUAUUAUACUGAGUUGACAAUUUAGGUUGGGGUGACCUCGGAAUAAAAACUAACUCCCGAGAAAAUUCAAAUUAAGACAGACAAGUCAAAAUUAUUCCACUAUAUACUGAUCCGUCAUAAACGAUCAACGAAACAAGUUACCCUAGGGAUAACAGCGCAAUCCUAUUUAAGAGUCCAUAUCGACAAUUAGGGUUUACGACCUCGAUGUUGGAUCAGGACAUCCCAAUGGUGCAGCCGCUAU
rnacentral:rRNA from 1 species